rnacentral:rRNA from 1 species
UCGGGGUACUCGAGUGGCGAACGGGUGAGUAACACGUGGGGUGAUCUGCCCUGCAGGNCUUUGGGAUAAGCCUGGGAAACUGGGUCUAAUCCCGAAUAGGACCACGCGCUUCAUGGUGUGUGGUGGAAAGCUUUUGCGGUGUGGGAUGGGCCCGCGGCCUAUCAGCUUGUUGGUGGGGUAAUGGCCUACCAAGGCGACGACGGGUAGCCGGCCUGAGAGGGUGACCGGCCACACUGGGACUGAGAUACGGCCCAGACUCCUACGGGAGGCAGCAGUGGGGAAUAUUGCACAAUGGGCGCAAGCCUGAUGCAGCGACGCCGCGUGAGGGAUGACGGCCUUCGGGUUGUAAACCUCUUUCAAUAGGGACGAAGCGCAAGUGACGGUACCUAUAGAAGAAGCACCGGCCAACUACGUGCCAGCAGCCGCGGUAAUACGUAGGGUGCGAGCGUUGUCCGGAAUUACUGGGCGUAAAGAGCUCGUAGGUGGUUUGUCGCGUUGUUCGUGAAAACUCACAGCUUAACUGUGGGCGUGCGGGCGAUACGGGCAGACUAGAGUACUGCAGGGGAGACUGGAAUUCCUGGUGUAGCGGUGGAAUGCGCAGAUAUCAGGAGGAACACCGGUGGCGAAGGCGGGUCUCUGGGCAGUAACUGACGCUGAGGAGCGAAAGCGUGGGGAGCGAACAGGAUUAGAUACCCUGGUAGUCCACGCCGUAAACGGUGGGUACUAGGUGUGGGUUCCUUCCUUGGGAUCCGUGCCGUAGCUAACGCAUUAAGUACCCCGCCUGGGGAGUACGGCCGCAAGGCUAAAACUCAAAGGAAUUGACGGGGGCCCGCACAAGCGGCGGAGCAUGUGGAUUAAUUCGAUGCAACGCGAAGAACCUUACCUGGGUUUGACAUGCACAGGACGCCGGCAGAGAUGUCGGUUCCCUUGUGGCCUGUGUGCAGGUGGUGCAUGGCUGUCGUCAGCUCGUGUCGUGAGAUGUUGGGUUAAGUCCCGCAACGAGCGCAACCCUUGUCCUAUGUUGCCAGCGGGUUAUGCCGGGGACUCGUAGGAGACUGCCGGGGUCAACUCGGAGGAAGGUGGGGAUGACGUCAAGUCAUCAUGCCCCUUAUGUCCAGGGCUUCACACAUGCUACAAUGGCCGGUACAAAGGGCUGCGAUGCCGUGAGGUGGAGCGAAUCCUUUCAAAGCCGGUCUCAGUUCGGAUCGGGGUCUGCAACUCGACCCCGUGAAGUCGGAGUCGCUAGUAAUCGCAGAUCAGCAACGCUGCGGUGAAUACGUUCCCGGGCCUUGUACACACCGCCCGUCACGUCAUGAAAGUCGGUAACACCCGAAGCC